UUUCCCCUGCAGUGUUCGAAAGGGCUUAUAUUCCUUUGAACCAAUAAGUUCGCUUUAUAGUUGCACGGUGGUAUGUGGGCGCGAGCGUUCCUUGCGAACGCACCCGAAACAUAUCCAUGUGACUAGCCUUGUCCCCAAGGUUCAAGCGAAUUAUGCCUACCGGCACCAGCGGGGGAUUC
rnacentral:other from 1 species